GAAUUUUUUUCUUCUAUUACGGAUAAUACAUACACAAAGCAAGAAGUAGUGAAAAUGGAAGCGGAUGUGUUUAAAGCUCGAAAUCGGUAAUCCCACAAUGAAGUCAUGUUUCAUUAAAUUCAGGUUUCGGGUACCAAGUUUGCGCAUUGUUUGCAAAUUACAGACAGCGAAUUUGCACUUGGAGUUUUAGGAUAUUCUUUGGCUGCUUUGGCAGUGAACAACCAAGAAUGCAUAUAUGCGCUCCAUGAAACGUCUAAAUGAAACAAAGAUACAUGAAGACCAAAAAAUGGAUUUCUUUAAUAGUUUGUUAUUCGGGUUUUGCAUAAUCUUAUACUUCCAACUUUCAUGAGCUUUGAUCCUUGCAUUAGAAUUCACGACAUGAAGGAAUGAGACCUCCUCCAACACUAAAUGUAUUCCCUUCGCGGCCAUAUUUAUCUCAAGUUAUUGUUGAAAUUAAAUACUUUAGACUGCUAUAACCAAAGCUGGAGGCUUUGCAUCUCUCGGUGCACAUUUGACGUUUCAACCUACACUAGCUCAGUACUGACUCCCUUGCAAGUUGGAUGUCUAAUAUUCCAGCUAUAUCUCAUCCAAAGUUAUCUGGUAGUGCAACUGGUCUUGGUAGUCACUCUAUUUCAGCAGCGUUGAAGCACCUAAGCACCUAAUGUGUGGGUCAAACUGAUUAUUCACACCAUUCUUUGGAUUACCCAUAUGCAGAAUUUGAUCAUAUCAGUAAAUGAACAAGGCCCAUGGGUAUAACUGAUCAGGUUAAUCUGCCUGUUAACAUGCUGCCUGUCUCAUUUCCGGGUCUGGCCAGUCACAGUCAAGCUCUUAGUGCACCUGCCUAAAACAAUUACAAGGACUCUAAAUCAGGGUCAUCUACUAUGAGCAUGGACUUUUAUCUUAUUCAACAAACAUUACUCUUAGGUGCCAAGACAUUCAGUACACUACGAUUUGCUCAGCGUGCUAAGACAUUCAGUUGUACCAAUGCUGACAAACAACUUAUGUAUCGAUGUCAAUGAUCGUUUCUUAAGCAAUGAUGCUUACGGAGUUACGGGGCAAUAUUUGACUGAUUUACAUAUAAUUCGUAAUGAAUUGUAUAGAGAAAUCUGAUAUGAGGCACAUGGUUACUUUCUUGAGCAUCAUUCCAUGAACAUCGUUGGUGACUCCUAGGACAACGACGAUGGAAAAGUAAUGGUAUUUAAGCAAGGAUAAUAUCGAGAAUGGAAUACGGGAGUAGCUAAAUAGAGUGGUUUUCUUACAACCAAAUGACAUUUUAUGAGACAGGAAGAAAUUCUAUUUGACGGCAUGAUUCGACUAAGGGAUGGAGUUAUUGUAUAACAGUUACUUCUUGGACUAUUGUACUGUCUACAGUUGGUUCGGAUGUUGUGAUGCUCAUAAAUUUAUUCGGGGUACGCCUAAAUGGAAAAGGUUAAUGCAUGGUAUAGUUCUUACUAAAAUAUGGGUUGUAUGGCGAAGUCGGAACAAGCUGAUUUUUGAGAAUAAGUUGGUUAAUUGCAAUCAGGCGGUUCAAGAAGUGCAGGCUUUAAGCUUCUUAUGGAUUAGAUCACGGGCCAAAUGGACUAACUUGGACUGGGGUAGAUGGAAGCAUUUCAGAGUCUCUCAUUUGUGUUAAUAAGUUUAUGGUGUCUUGCUAUGGAAAUGUAGUCAAUUGGUGUCAAGAUCAUGUUGUACUUUGGUGUGAAUUUGAUACUGUUUGUAUUUUGGGUUUUAGCAUCCUGCUGACCCAUUUAUAUUAAUAGAUUCUUUUGACUUGUUUCCGAUUA